rnacentral:rRNA from 1 species
UACGGGGGGGAGCAAGCGUUGUUCGGAUUUACUGGGCGUAAAGGGCGCGUAGGCGGCCACCGCAAGUCGACUGUGAAAUCUCCGGGCUUAACCCGGAAAGGUCAGCCGAUACUGCGGGGCUAGAGUGCAGAAGGGGCAACUGGAAUUCUCGGUGUAGCGGUGAAAUGCGCAGAUAUCAGGAGGAACACCGGUGGCGAAGGCAAUCCCCUGGGCCUGCACUGACGCUCAUGCACGAAAGCGUGGGGAGCAAACAGG